GGGCAUAGCUCAAUGGUAGAGUGCUCAUCUAGCACAUAUGCACGAAGCCCUGGGUACGAUCCCCAGUGUGACCA
rnacentral:tRNA from 1 species